rnacentral:lncRNA from 1 species
GGAUCAGGCCCGGCCGGGUUCCGCCCCGGCGAGCGGCAGGCUGCUGCCCUGCAGAGUCUCCGGCGGACGCCGCUUCCCGAUCUGCCGGCCCUUCGCUCGCCACGCCGCCGUCGAGGCCCCGCUGCCUGUCGGGCUUUUGCCUUCGGCGGGCUGCGCGCGAAACGGGAGCGCGGAGGCGGAGCGCGUGGCUUGGCGAAGUGCCGCGGCCAGUCCUGCUCCCGCCUUUCCUCCGACGGCGCUGCUUCCCUGACGCUUUGCAGGCGCUUCUGCAAGGCUCUCCCCUUAGGCUUAGUCGCCCCGACUCGCGGGUCCCACCUUGGCGACCCUUGGCCGGCGCUUCCAGGGCAGAGCUGCCCUCCUUUUCCUGGGGGUGGGGCGUCUUCCUGGCAUUCCGGACAGACGUGGAAGUCCUUCUGUUGCUCUAGCCUGCAGGCCGAACUUUCUGCCCCUAUUUGUUCCCUGCGCGUUCAGAGAUCCGCACUCAGCUGCCGGAGCCGUUUCCACUCACUCUUAGUAGCCCCUCGCUCUGAGCCACGACGAGCUAAAAAGUACCCGGGCAGGGGAAAUCAGAGCUCCCCCAGCCCCAAAAAGCUCCCUCCCAACGGAAGAACAGCCACCAGCAGUUUGCCAUCUUUCUUUAGCGCAGGGAAACAGAUUAAAAGUUGGCUCCCGUUUGCUCCUUUCUUACUGGAGUAAAGUUUUAGCUGUUUGUUCCUUGCUCUGUGUUGAAGCCCCUCUGUUUUUCCGGCCUGCUCUCUGCCUGAUGCUAGUUGCUAAAUUAAUCAUUUCCUCAUUUGUAGUGCGGUUUUUGUCUCCGUUUUUGUCUUUGGGGAGCUCAGAAGCUGCAGCGGCCUCCCUUUGCAGGGACCCUCGCAGCUGCCCACCUGAUCCACUCCGCAGCCUGGCUUCCCGUUGUCCCCCUCCCCACCUGGGCUCUGUGCCCUCCUUGCUCCCUCCAGAGCGGAGCCUGCUGAUCCCCUAAGCUGUUUGUGACAUGUGUCCUGCGCAGGCUGGCUGGUGCCCUGAUCCCAGAACAAGGUGGCGAUUGUACCCAGAGGCGGAGGCCCCGUGGGGUGUAAGAUGCAGGCAGACGCCGCCCCCCUUCCCUGCUCCACUUAAAGGCCAGCCUGGCUGCAGAGAAUAGGGCUCUCUGUCUCUCUCGCCCCUGAGCUUGCCCCAUGGAGACCCUGAGGCAGGUUGGGGCUGGGUGGGCACAGAGGGGUCCCCCGAGCCCUGGGGCCCUUGCUCCUUGGCUGGGCUCGGCCCUCAUGUGGUGAGGACCUUCUGGGCUUCUGCUUCAGAGCAGGCUGGCCUGGCACCACCUGCGCGUUCAGUGGCAGGAGACCGUGGGUGGCAGCUGAUGGCGAGGUCUAAAGGGGCAGCUGGAAAGGGACCCACGGUGGCCGGUGUGUAGGGCAGAAUCAUGGCCCCUGGGCUGCGCCCCUCACAAGCCCAGGAAUGCACCCAGCCUGUGAAGGAUGAGGACCCAGGACGUUUUGUGUUUCUGGGGCAGGGGGAGAGACCUGUGGCCUGGGGGGGCGACCUUCAGACAGCAGAGAUUGUUGUGGGCCUGGCAGGGAGCAGAAGUGCCUGAGGGUGUUGUGUGUGGAAAUGCCGAUAUUGGUGCAAUGUCUGCCAUAGAAAAUCGAUUUGUGCCUGUGAAGCCCCCUUGAGAAUGGGGGUCUCUCCCGCUUGGGGUCCUGCUUUUGCACCACGUGCCGCCUCUUCAGGGCAGGUUUUGCACUGAGUCACUGGCAUGGGGGGCCCUCUUUCCGUGGUCCUCUGCAUCGGCUGCCUGGAGGAGGCUGGAAGCCUGUGGGGCUCCUGCCUCUGUGGCUGGCCGGCUACAAAUUCCAUAUUUGGUAGCAGUCAUUGUUUACGCCUCGGAUUGCAAGGGGGGGGGUGAGGAGGGUGAAUGUUUUCAGGCAGCAGAGCUUCCCUCUCCCUGCUGGAAUCUGCUCUUUGCCUUGAAGGGCUGCGAUGAGGCUGGACAAGAACUGGACAAGAACGAGACUGGCUGCAGGUCUCCAUCCAUGGAACCUGCUACAGGGUUUUUUUAAGGUGGGGGGGGGGGAGAUCAGCAGUUUGCCAAGAGAUUUCCCAAGUGUGUGACACUUUUUCCUGCCCACUCUGCCCCCUUCCUGUGCUCCUGCCAAAGUCAGAAGCAGGUGGGCUUUGUGGUGGGUGGGUGGAGGGGGCUGUUGCUUGGCUGUGCCCUCUGGGAACCCCCUCCUCUGACUCCCUGCUCCCCUUGUUCCCUUUUCCCACGCUCAGAAACGGCAGACUAUGAUUAUUUUAAGAAAUGAAAAAAAUACUUGUGAGAUGACGUUUUAUUACAGUGAGUCUUGGGACACUGCAGAAGAGGCUUCCCGGCUUGGCUUCACUUCUUUCCCUUUGAAAAGAUUUGACACACAUUUUUCACGGUUCAUCUUCAGGUUGUGGCGCUUGUGUAGACUUGGAGAGAGUCUGCCCCAGCUCCGAGCAUUGUGCAGUGCAGUUGUAGUGCCCACUUAAUUCAGGGGAGUUUGCUCCCAAGUGCAGUGACCGUGUUUAGGCAGCCCUGGUCUUUCUGAGCAUUUGCACAGCCUCUUCCCCCUUUGCUCUUUGCCCUGACUUAAAGGGCUGCAGAAGUUCCCUCGGAUGCCUUUUGCAGAAAUGGACUGUCUGAGCAGACAAGCAGGCAGAAGUGAGUCUUCAAGGGAAACAGUUUUGGAGAUCCUGUUUCUGAGAGUCAGGAACCUCCCAGCAAUCUUUUCCGGCUUCUUCAGACUGAGCCUCCUCUCCCCGUGCCUGCCAGGCGGGCGGAUGAGGUGUUGGGGGCAGAUCCAGUGGCUUCUUCCAGCAGAUGCCAAGCUGUAUCCCCCCAUCCCUCCCCGCCCCCCAUGCCUCUGUCUUUCCUUCUCUCCCUCUUUGGGAAGUUAGGUGGGCAGCUCCUUGAAGCCCCCACAGCCCUGUUUAGUGAAGAGGGCCUGUGGUUCAACAGGACAGGCCCCUGCAUCAUCUCCGCCAGUGGUUUUAAAUUAAAAACCACGGACUGUAUUCAGAGUAGACCCACUGAAAUGAAGAAACUCUUCAUUUUGGUAGGUCUGCUCUGAGGCUCUGUCUAAAGCUGUAUUAUACCACAUUAAACAGUCCUGUCCCCAAUGGAACCUGGGAACUGUAGUAUUUUUUAAAUCUUAUUUAUUAAUUUUUCUU